rnacentral:tRNA from 1 species
AGGCGCGUAGCUCAGUGGUAGAGCACUACCUUGACAUGGUAGUGGUCGGUGGUUCAAUCCCGCCCGCGCCUACCA